AGCAGCUUUACAUAGAUGUAUCGUGUUCUCUACAGAUAACACAGCUGGGAAAAUAUGGUUAGAGCUCUCAAAUAUCUUGGAAUUUCUGUUAUAAUGUAGUUACCAACUAUUGUGAGUAUUAAAAUAACAGUUUUUAGCUCAUUCAAAAUACAUUCCUCUUCUUUAACACACAUGAUAAAAUGUAAAAUAGUGAGCAUUUGUAUUUUGCCUUUUUUUAGGACUCAGCAGGAAGGAUCUUUCUGAGGGUUUCUUUUGGAUCUGAAGUCUGCCUUGGGAUAGCACAGGCUGCCAAAGGGACAUGGAUUAGUAGACAGAAGACAUGGAUGCCCCAGAUUUGACAGCUCAAACAGGUGCUUCAUGCUGCUCUUGGAAGGACCCUGGUUCAGCACAAAGUGCUCGAGCCUCUGUGGUGAUGCACAGUAGAUUGAAGGUGAAGGAAAAAAAAAGCUCUUUGCUGGAGCUUUUCCUCUCCUCUGAGAUUAUGAUCUGUCUGAAAUCUCUCCAAAUUCCUGAACAACCUCCUGCUGUUAACACCACUACCAAAGUUGGGCCCUAGAGUCUACUGGGUCACCCAGGUAUCCUUAUUGCUAUGAUAUAUUGCAUUUAUCUUGUCUCCUUCUUUGAUGGAUGCUGAGCAAUAACAGUAAAUCUUUCUCUCCUUACAUGCGGAAUUGGUUUUCAGCUGGAAUUGAGUGCCUACAGAGUAAAUCCAAGGUAAACUGGAAUGAGGAGACAGAGUACAGAGGAACAAAUCUGGGGCUUUUGAGUCUUUUUUGUUAUUGUACCACCAGAAAGCGCUAUUUUAACUAGUAAAAUGAAUUCUUGACAUCUUUUCCAUUCAAACCACUAGUUCAGAGGGUGGUUUGAAUGAAU
rnacentral:lncRNA from 1 species